rnacentral:rRNA from 1 species
CCUACGGGAGGCAGCAGUGGGGAAUCUUGCGCAAUGGGCGAAAGCCUGACGCAGCCAUGCCGCGUGAAUGAUGAAGGUCUUAGGAUUGUAAAAUUCUUUCACCGGGGACGAUAAUGACGGUACCCGGAGAAGAAGCCCCGGCUAACUUCGUGCCAGCAGCCGCGGUAAUACGAAGGGGGCUAGCGUUGCUCGGAAUUACUGGGCGUAAAGGGAGCGUAGGCGGAUAGUUUAGUCAGAGGUGAAAGCCCAGGGCUCAACCUUGGAAUUGCCUUUGAUACUGGCUAUCUUGAGUACGGAAGAGGUAUGUGGAACUCCGAGUGUAGAGGUGAAAUUCGUAGAUAUUCGGAAGAACACCAGUGGCGAAGGCGACAUACUGGUCCGUUACUGACGCUGAGGCUCGAAAGCGUGGGGAGCAAACAGGAUUAGAUACCCUGGUAGUCCACGCUGUAAACGAUGAGUGCUAGUUGUCGGCAUGCAUGCAUGUCGGUGACGCAGCUACGACAUAAGUACACUCCGCCGUCGGGGUAGGUACGGGUCCGGCGAACGAAGUUAAAACCGUUAACGUAAAGUUAAAGUUAAGUACGGUUACGGUUCGUAGAGACGCGACGGACGGACGACGACGGAGGGAGGAGG